rnacentral:tRNA from 1 species
GGGCGAUUGGCGCAGCGGUAGCGUAUCACAUUGACAUUGUGGGGGUCACGUGUUCGAAUCACGUAUCGCCCA